rfam:Heterocephalus glaber contig201959, whole genome shotgun sequence.
ACAAUAGCUUUAUUAAAAGCCAUCCUAAUUUACAUAAGCAUGCAUU